UGGGGAAUAUUGGGGCAAUGGGGGCGAAAGCCUGACCCAGCAACGCCGCGUGAAGGAAGAAGGCCUUCGGGUUGUAAACUUCUUUUAAGAGGGACGAAGAAGUGACGGUACCUCUUGAAUAAGCCACGGCUAACUACGUGCCAGCAGCCGCGGUAAUACGUAGGUGGCGAGCGUUAUCCGGAUUUACUGGGUGUAAAGGGCGCGUAGGCGGGAAUGCAAGUCAGAUGUGAAAUCCAAGGGCUCAAACCCUUGAACUACAUUUGAAACUGUAUUUCUUGAGUGUCGGAGAGGUUGACGGAAUUCCUAGUGUAGCGGUGAAAUGCGUAGAU
rnacentral:rRNA from 1 species